rnacentral:tRNA from 1 species
GCCUCUGUAGCUCAGUUGGUAGAGCGGAGGACUGAAAAUCCUUGUGUCGUUGGUUCGAUUCCGACCGGAGGCACCA